rnacentral:tRNA from 1 species
UCGGGGAUCGUCUAACGGUAGGACUGCAGAUUCUGGUUCUGCCUAUCAAGGUUCGAAUCCUUGUCCCCGAA